rnacentral:lncRNA from 1 species
UUGGAUUUUUUUGGAGAUUUUUGGGAUCUUUGUGGGAUUUUUAUUGAGAUUUUUGUGGGAUUUUUAUUGGAUUUUGAGGGGAUUUUUAUUGUGAUUAUUUGCGAUUUUUUUAAAGAAGUUUGGGGGAUUUUUACUGGAAUUUUGGGGAGACUUUUAUUGGGAUUUUUAGGAUUUUUUAAAAGAUUUUUUUGGAUUUUGGGGGAGAUUUUUUGGGGAUUUUUUAAAGAAUUUUUGGGGGAUUUUUAAAAGAAUUUUUGAGGGUUUUUUUAUUUUUUGGGGAGAUUUUUUGGGAUUUUUUUUAAGAAUUUUUGGGGAAUUUUCAUUGGAAUUUUUGAGAUUUUUUGGGAUUUUUUUAAGAAUUUUUGGGGGAUAUUUUGAGAAUUUUUUGGGAAUUUUGUGUUCUCGUUUUUGGGAAAUUCCAGGGAUUUUUGGGAGGGAUCCCAAAUUUUCCAUUUUUCCGCAGGCCCAGAUCCGGCAGAGUUUGGAGCAGAAGGAGAAGGAGAAAAACCAGGAAGAACCCCCCAAAAAAAAGAGAAAAAAAGAGGCAAAAACCCCCCAAAAAUCCAGGAACAAACUGGGAGAAAACCUCCAAAAAUCUGCAAAAAAAAUGGGAGAAAACCCCCAAAAAAAGAGGAAAAAAUUGGGAGAAAAUCCCCAAAAAUCAGUGGAAAAAAUUGGAGAAAAAACCCCAAAAAAUCAGGAAAAAGGGGAAGGAAACGCCAAAAAAAUUGGGAAAAAAUUGGGGAAAAAAACCCCAAAAAUUGGGCAAAAAAAUGGGGAAAAACCCAAAAUGAAGAGGAAAGGGCAGAAGGGGGGUCCUGGCUCCAAAUUGGGGGGAAAAGCCCCAAAAUUGGGGGGAUCCCCCCCAAACAAGGGGGCCCUGGAGCGGUUCAAGAAAUAAAUUUGGGGGGCAGCGAGUUUGGGGGGGCUGCGCUUGGAUCUGUCCCCAAUUUUGGGGGUCCCCAAUGUCCCCAUCCCAAAGUUUGGGGUCCCCAAAGUGUCCCCGUCCCAAAUUUUGGGCUCUCCAAAAUGUCCCCUGCCCCCAGUUUUGGGGUCCUAUCCCCAAUUUUGGGGUCCCCAAUGUCCCCUCCCCCAAUUUUUGGGAUCCCCAAAGUGUCCCCAUUGCAAUUUUGGGGUCCCCAAAAUGUCCCCGUCUCAAUUUUGGGGUCCUCUCCCCAUUUUUGGGUCCCCAAAAUGUCCCCAUCCCAAUUUCGGGGGUCCCCAAAGUGUCCCCAUCCUAUUUUUGGGUGUCCCCAAAGUGUCCCCUCCCCCAGGCGAGGCCCCCUCGGUGUCACCGGCGCUGGGACUUUAUUGGGGUGGCACCG